GGCCCGCGGGCGGCCGGCGGAGGAGACGCGGCACAGGAGCCGCCCGAGCCGAGCGUGGAGAGUUUCAGGAAAACGGGACGGGGCCGUGGAGAAGCCCAAGAGCCGGACGGGCAUCUGAACACGGAGGAGCAACCCCGUGUUGCAGAGUGAAUAACCAGACCACUUAGAAACCGUCUUCAGCCGCUCAUCUAGACGACAGGGACACGUUUUCGAACUUCACUUCUUCACUGGGGCACGUUGUCACCCGUCUGGGUUUCAGCACCGUCAAGCUUGCCCUGACAGUCCCCUGGCUAAUUCCUGAGCGCUCCAUGCACAUCAUCACGCUCCGGAGGCGAGGCAGCUGACCACGUUCACCUCAGGUUUUCACAAAACUUAGAGGUAGAUGGCUGCGAGGAGCUAAUAAGUACUAGAGCAACAGCAUAUCACAGGAAUGGCUUUCUCCUCCCCUACGGUGACCAAGCAGUGACGGCAGAAGAAAGGGGUUAGUGUAUUCCUCCUUCUAUAUUACACUGA